GCAUCGAAUGCAGAACGCAGC
rnacentral:rRNA from 1 species